GGUUAAGUGACUAAGCGUACACGGUGGAUGCCUUGGCAGUCAGAGGCGAUGAAAGACGUAGUAACUUGCGAUAAGCCCAGAUUAGGUAGUAACAACCAUUUGAGUCUGGGAUUUCUGAAUGGGGAAACCCACGUGCAUAAGCACGUAUCCUUACCUGAAUACAUAGGGUAAGGAGGCGAACCGGGGGAACUGAAACAUCUAAGUACCCCGAGGAAAAGAAAUCAACCGAGAUUCCGAAAGUAGCGGCGAGCGAAAUUGGACUAGCCCUUAAGCUUUACACGCGUUAGACGAACGGUCUGGAAAGUCCGACGAUACAGGGUGAUAGUCCCGUAGUUGACGACGUGUGUUCAGUGAAAUCGAGUAGGGCGGGACACGUGAUAUCCUGUCUGAAUAUGGGGGGACCAUCCUCCAAGGCUAAAUACUACUGACUGACCGAUAGUGAACCAGUACCGUGAGGGAAAGGCGAAAAGAACCCCUGUGAGGGGAGUGAAAUAGAACCUGAAACCGUGUACGUACAAGCAGUAGGAGCACCUUCGUGGUGUGACUGCGUACCUUUUGUAUAAUGGGUCAGCGACUUAUAUUCAGUGGCAAGGUUAACCAUCUAGGGGAGCCGUAGGGAAACCGAGUCUUAACUGGGCGUUCAGUCUCUGGAUAUAGACCCGAAACCAGGUGAUCUAGCCAUGGGCAGGUUGAAGGUUGAGUAACAUCAACUGGAGGACCGAACCGACUAAUGUUGAAAAAUUAGCGGAUGACUUGUGGCUAGGGGUGAAAGGCCAAUCAAACCUGGAGAUAGCUGGUUCUCCCCGAAAGCUAUUUAGGUAGCGCCUCGGACGAAUACUACUGGGGGUAGAGCACUGUUAAGGCUAGGGGGUCAUCCCGACUUACCAACCCUUUGCAAACUCCGAAUACCAGUAAGUACUAUCCGGGAGACACACGGCGGGUGCUAACGUCCGUCGUGGAGAGGGAAACAACCCAGACCGCCAGCUAAGGUCCCAAAUUACUACUAAGUGGGAAACGAUGUGGGAAGGCUCAGACAGCCAGGAUGUUGGCUUAGAAGCAGCCAUCAUUUAAAGAAAGCGUAAUAGCUCACUGGUCGAGUCGGCCUGCGCGGAAGAUGUAACGGGGCUAAGUAGUAAACCGAAGCUGCGGCAAUAUACUUUUGUAUAUUGGGUAGGGGAGCGUUCUGUAAGCGGUUGAAGGUGUGUGGUAACGCAUGCUGGACGUAUCAGAAGUGCGAAUGCUGACAUGAGUAACGAUAAAGGGGGUGAAAAACCUCCUCGCCGGAAGACCAAGGGUUCCUGUCCAACGUUAAUCGGGGCAGGGUAAGUCGACCCCUAAGGCGAGGCCGAAAGGCGUAGUCGAUGGGAAACGGGUUAAUAUUCCCGUACUUCUUACAAUUGCGAUGGGGGGACGGAGAAGGCUAGGUGGGCCUGGCGACGGUUGUCCAGGUUCAAGUGCGUAGGCUUAAGAGUUAGGUAAAUCCGGCUCUUUUUAAGGCUGAGACACGACGUCGAGCACCUACGGGUGUGAAGUCAUUGAUGCCAUGCUUCCAGGAAAAGCCUCUAAGCUUCAGAUUGUAAGGAAUCGUACCCCAAACCGACACAGGUGGUCGGGUAGAGAAUACCAAGGCGCUUGAGAGAACUCGGGUGAAGGAACUAGGCAAAAUGGUACCGUAACUUCGGGAGAAGGUACGCUCUUGAUGGUGAAGUCCCUCGCGGAUGGAGCUGACGAGAGUCGCAGAUACCAGGUGGCUGCAACUGUUUAUUAAAAACACAGCACUGUGCAAAAUCGUAAGAUGACGUAUACGGUGUGACGCCUGCCCGGUGCCGGAAGGUUAAUUGAUGGGGUUAGACUUCGGUCGAAGCUCUUGAUCGAAGCCCCGGUAAACGGCGGCCGUAACUAUAACGGUCCUAAGGUAGCGAAAUUCCUUGUCGGGUAAGUUCCGACCUGCACGAAUGGCGUAAUGAUGGCCACGCUGUCUCCACCCGAGACUCAGUGAAAUUGAAAUCGCUGUGAAGAUGCAGUGUACCCGCGGCUAGACGGAAAGACCCCGUGAACCUUUACUACAGCUUGGCACUGAACAUUGACCCUACAUGUGUAGGAUAGGUGGGAGGCUUUGAAGCACGUACGCCAGUAUGUGUGGAGCCGUCCUUGAAAUACCACCCUUGUAGUGUUGAUGUUCUAACGUCGACCCCUAAUCGGGGUUGCGGACAGUGCCUGGUGGGUAGUUUGACUGGGGCGGUCUCCUCCCAAAGAGUAACGGAGGAGCACGAAGGUGGGCUAAUCACGGUUGGACAUCGUGAGGUUAGUGCAAUGGCAUAAGCCCGCUUGACUGCGAGAAUGACAAUUCGAGCAGGUGCGAAAGCAGGUCAUAGUGAUCCGGUGGUUCUGAAUGGAAGGGCCAUCGCUCAACGGAUAAAAGGUACUCCGGGGAUAACAGGCUGAUACCGCCCAAGAGUUCAUAUCGACGGCGGUGUUUGGCACCUCGAUGUCGGCUCAUCACAUCCUGGGGCUGAAGUCGGUCCCAAGGGUAUGGCUGUUCGCCAUUUAAAGUGGUACGCGAGCUGGGUUUAGAACGUCGUGAGACAGUUCGGUCCCUAUCUGCCGUGGGCGUUGGAAGAUUGAAGGGGGCUGCUCCUAGUACGAGAGGACCGGAGUGGACGAACCUCUGGUGUUCGGGUUGUGUCGCCAGACGCAUUGCCCGGUAGCUAAGUUCGGAAUCGAUAACCGCUGAAAGCAUCUAAGCGGGAAGCGAGCCCUGAGAUGAGUCUUCCCUGAUACUUUAAGUAUCCUAAAGGGUUGUCGGAGACUACGACGUUGAUAGGUCAGGUGUGUAAGUGCUGUGAGGCAUUGAGCUAACUGAUACUAAUUGCCCGUGAGGCUUAACCAU
rnacentral:rRNA from 1 species